rnacentral:rRNA from 1 species
AACGAACGCUGGCGGCAGGCCUAACACAUGCGAGUCGAGCGCCCUUUCGGGGGAGCGGCGGACGGGUGAGUAACGCGUGGGAAUAUGCCCUUCUCUACGGAAUAGCCUCGGGAAACUGAGAGUAAUACCGUAUACGCCCUGUGGGGGAAAGAUUUAUCGGGGAAGGAUUAGUCCGCGUUGGAUUAGGUAGUUGGUGGGGUAAUGGCCUACCAAGCCGACGAUCCAUAGCUGGUUUGAGAGGAUGAUCAGCCACACUGGGACUGAGACACGGCCCAGACUCCUACGGGAGGCAGCAGUGGGGAAUCUUAGACAAUGGGGGCAACCCUGAUCUAGCCAUGCCGCGUGAGUGAUGAAGGCCUUAGGGUUGUAAAGCUCUUUCAGCUGGGAAGAUAAUGACGGUACCAGCAGAAGAAGCCCCGGCUAACUCCGUG